rnacentral:rRNA from 1 species
CCUACGGGCGGCUGCAGUGGGGAAUCUUGGGCAAUGGGCGCAAGCCUGACCCAGCAACGCCGCGUGAAGGAAGAAGGCUUUCGGGUUGUAAACUUCUUUUGUCAGGGACGAAGCAAGUGACGAUUCCUGACGAAUACGCAACGGCUAACUACGUGCCAGUAGCCGCGGUAGUACGUAGGGGGCAAGCGGUAUACGGAUGUACUGGGUGUAAAGCGCGGGUAGGCGGGACUGUAAGUCAGAUGUGAAAACCACGGGCUCAACCUGUGGCGGGCAUUGGAAACUGUAGUUCUUGAGUACUGGAGAGGCAGACGGAAUUCCUAGUGUAGCGGUGAAAUGCGUAGAUAUAAGGAGGAACACCAGUGGCGAAGGCGGUCUGCUGGACAGCAACUGACGCUGAGGCGCGAAAGCGUGGGGAGCAAACAGGAUUAGAUACCCUAGUAGUC